rnacentral:rRNA from 1 species
CUAUUGACAAGGUUUUAUAAUAUUUAGAAUUAAAAAUUAAUAGAAUGUUCAUUAAGGUCAUAUAAAAUUACAAGCUAUCUAUUAUUUAUUUUUUAUAAAAAAAGGUAAUAAACUAAGGUUAGUUGCUUAUUAUACUUUAUGUAAAUUAUUUUAGGUAUUAUUUGGUAUUUCAAAAAACCUAAAUUUCAUGGCAGUACUUUACUCCCUGCAGAGGAAUUUGAAUAAUAAAUGAUAUUCCCCAGUAUGUUUUUCUUAAAUUUUUUUUAUGUGUGGUUGUUUAAAUAAAUAAUAUAUUAUAAAUUAAAAUCAGAUUUUAUGUAAAUAUAUUUAAGUUAAUUUUAAUUAUAACUAUAAUAUAUCAUAAGAUUUGCGAGUAUUAUAUUAUAAAAAUAAGAUGAGGUUAUAAAUUGUGUACAUAUUGUCCGUCACUCUCAGAGAU